UGCCGCAACUAAAAGAUCCUGCGUGCCACAACUAAGACCCGGCACAGCCAGAUAAAUAAAUAAAAGGAAAUAUAUUCUAAAAAAUAAAAUCCAUAUAUAUGACUCUUAACGUUUAGGAGAUGGACGCGUAGCUUCACUCCUCCCCUCCAACACGCACACAAAGUGACAUGUUGCCGCAAGGUUGCCUGAGAAAGAAGCCCCUACUGGCAGCCUAACCUUGACAGUGGGAAGAGGCGAUGCUGACAGGAGGUACAUGAAGCUUCCAGCACCGGUCGAUGGAACCACCUUCUGUGUCUCUGUUGGGGCCCUGUGCCUCUGGUGAGGAAUUGGCUCUUGGGCUGACUUUCUAACCGAUCAUUGUGCACCCUUCCAUCCAGGGUGACAUGAGAGAAAAGGACACCCACCCACCCCAGGCGAGUCCCCUUGUGAGAUGUCUAUUGAUUAGGUGCACCUUGAGUUGGGACAGGUUUGGAGAAAGAGUUAGUAGAGGGAAAUGGUAAAGACCUCCCUCAAAUCAUUUAGGAAAUGGAAGAUAGAAGAGCUUCCUCUGUUGGGCCACACGAAGCAGCCCAGCGAGGAGAGGAGGACAUGUAUACAGCAGGAAGAGAACCGGUUAAGAGUUUGAACCUGGCAGAAAGGGGGACAGAUCAGCUCUGUUAGGAAUAAGCUCUUCUGUGCCACCCUCCAUAAAAGGAGGUGCCAGCUAGUCGGGGGCAAGCAGGCUGGCCGUGGGGACCAGAUUCUGAUAAGGCUGAACUGGGUUCGGGGUGGAAUCAGUCCAGUGUCCUGGGGCAGACUGGGGUUCAGGCUCAGAAAGGCCCUUCUUAAUUGCAGGCAGCAGCUUCAGUGAGUGACAGACUCAGAGCCCAAGCCCAGGGCCAGCACUAUUUCCAGGUGCCACUCAAGGGCCAAACUCUACAAGGUUACUGCUUUAUAGGGGAGGGGCUACACUGACACCCAACUGGGUUCACCAAGCGUCCAACCGUGCUUCUCCUCUCGGGCCCGCGCCAUCCUUCCUCAGUAAGCAUCCCCAGGGGGCAUGGGGCUGGCCUGUUAUCCAGCCCCAGGGAGAAAGGACAGGAAUUAUUUGAGUAAGUAAGAUACUCCUUCUUAAUAGUAUUUUCCAAAAAGAAACACCUGGUUCUACUUUAUCAAAUAAAUGACUAAGCAAUGGGAUUAAUACUUAUUCUAACUUGGGACAUUAAUUUCUAGUCAAGCUAAGUACAUAAUCAUGUUUGAGCUGGAAAAAGUCUAUAAAUUACCUGUAACAGGGCAAACUGCCGCCCACAUGCCAAAUCCAGCCUGCUCCCUGUUUUUGUACAGGCUGUAAGCUAAAAAUAGUUUUUACAUCUUUAAAUGGUUGAAAAAAUCAAAAGAAGAAUAAUAUUUCAUCACACAUGAAAAGUAUAUGAAAUUUACAUUUGAGUGUCCAUAAGUAAACUUUUAUUGGGACCCUAUGGCUGCUUUUGCACUGCAAGGCAGAAUUGAGUAGUUGCAAGAGACUGUUUGCCUACAAAGCCUAAAAUAUUUACUACCUGAACGCUUACAGAAAGAGUUUGAUGACCCCUGAUCUGUACAAUGCAGUGUUCAUUGUAUAGGAGAAAACAGACUCACUUCCAUUAUUUAGGUUUAUACAGUUACAGAAGGUCCCUACAAGACCCCAUUUGAUACCGAGACUGUUUAAUUCAAGGUUCAUAUAUUAUACGGGAGGAGGGGUAUUUGAUUCUUGCAUGUAUUCUAUAAAGCACAUUAUGGACUAUGUACCCUGGAUACAAUUUAGGAGUAUGAAGAUCAAUGGAGGAAAGUAGGCCCUACAUCAAUAAUAGGUCACCCAGAGAUGAUGGGUGAGUUGGAUCAAGGACGCUGCCAUUCCAUAAUGUACCGUUAUGUGAAUUAGAUAAGACACCCAUCUUUCAAGACACUUUGAUUUGUGCCACGAAUUUUCUUUUUAAGUGAACAUGCCAUCUCCUGCGCCUCAGUGUGAAUAGCGCCCCCUGGGGGUUCUGCAGUGCUCAGCUUGCAGAUUGCAGACAACUUCAGUGCCCUGGGACAGGAAGCUGCUGGGUGAAGCCCUCUUGUUCUGGAUGGUGCCAAGGCCAGCAGGGCGAGGAGCUGAGGGACAUGGCGGUGGAGAGGGGAGGCCCCCAGGGGGGAGUUGGAGGAGGGAUAGGGUCAGAGAAGGAAGACUGUCUCCAUAUCUGUAGGUCACUGGCUGGUGUACUGUAACUGGAGAAACUGCUGCUGCCCUCUCACCAGAAACUACCAGCGUGGAGAACGGCACAGGUCCUAGCCCGUGAUUGGGGCAUCUGCCUUUGUGACUUUUAUUUCAUUUACCAUCACUUAUCUCUGUCCAUAGUGUUUUUUAGAAGUCUGCAUAGUCACAAGUUAUGCUGCUUUCAACUACUGGGAAACAACUGUGUAUCCCUAAGGUGCCCCAGGGCCCUCCAAAAUAACUUUGCUUUAUGCCAGAAAGCCUGUAUUUUAGGCGAGAACAUCCUAAACCGUCCCAACUGUUUGGUGAGAGUUCGAAUCCACACAGGCAUCUCCCCGUGGAGCAGUCAGACCUCCCACUCCUCAGUGCUCACAGGCUCUCCUAAGAAGCAACAGCUCUCUGAUGGGGAUACAGUAAAAGUGACCUCUUCCUCCUUGCUUCCAGCUUGUGGUGAGGGAAGAUGGCCAGCUGCCUCGGGAGGGCACAGAAGCUGGUCAGAGUGGAUACUUGGAGCAGCACUUGGCUCCGGGGAGGGAUCUGGUCAGUGCCAUUUGCCGACACUCUAGGAAGACUGAGAUGCCACCUAAAAUUUCAAACCGAUAAUGAAAUACAGGCAGGAGUGGCUUCUCCAGGCCCCCCAUUUAUUAAAAAAAGGGGAGAGGCAGACCCCCCCCAGGGUUUCUUUACGUACAUACCCCUGGUUAAAACAUAAUCACUUGCAAAAGACAUUAACUACUUUUCCCUUGUAAUUAAAUAGUGCUGUGAAUAACAAUUUAUAAUAAAUAUGAAUUGGACUUGUUUCA